CUACGGGAGGCAGCAGUCGGGAUCUGGCCAUGGCGAAAGCUGACGCAGCACACCGUGUGGGCGACGAGCCUUCGGUCGUAAAGCCUGUGUGGGACGAGACGAAGGGUAAUAGCCCCUAGUCUGACGGUACCUUCGAGGAAGCCCCGGCUAACUACGUGCCAGCAGCCGCGGUAAUACGUAGGGGGCGAGCGUUGUCCGGGAAUUAUUGGGCGUAAAGAGCGUGUAGGCGGUUCGGUAAGUCUGCCGUGAAAACCUGGGGCUCAACCCCGGGCGUGCGGUGGAUACUGUCGGGCUAGAGGUGGUAGAGGCGAGUGGAAUUCCCGGUGUAGCGGUGAAAUGCGCAGAUAUCGGGAGGAACACCAGUAGCGAAGGCGGCUCGCUGGGCCAUUCCUGACGCUGAGACGCGAAAGCUAGGGGAGCGAGCAGGAUUAGAUACCCUGGUAGUCCUAGCCGUAAACGAUGAACACUAGGUGUGGGGGGAGUCGAAUCCCUCUGUGCCGCAGCCAACGCGAUAAGUGUUCCGCCUGGGGAGUACGGCCGCAAGGCUAAAACUCAAAAGAAUUGACGGGGGCCCGCACAAGCAGCGGAGCAUGUUCUUUAAUUCGAUGCAACGCGAAGAACCUUACCUGGGCUUGACAUGGUGCUGCAAGCGCACGGAAACGUGUGACCUUCGAGGGUGCACCACAGAUGCUGCAUGGCUGUCGUCAGCUCGUGUCGUGAGAUGUUGGGUUAAGUCCCGCAACGAGCGCAACCCCCGUGGCGUGUUGCCAUCAUUAAGUUGGGGACUCACGCCAGACUGCCGGUGACAAACCGGAGGAAGGUGGGGAUGAGGUCAAGUCAUCAUGGCUCUUACGUCCAGGGCUAGAAACGUGCUACAAUGGCUGAUACAAAGGGUUGCAAGACCGCAAGGUGGAGCGAAUCUCAUCAAAGUCAGUCUAAGUUCGGAUCGCAGUCUGCAACUCGACUGCGCGAAGGCGGAGUUGCUAGUAAUCGCGGAUCAGCAUGCCGCGGUGAAUACGUUCCCGGG
rnacentral:rRNA from 1 species